rnacentral:rRNA from 1 species
AUUGAACGCUGGCGGCAUGCUUUACACAUGCAAGUCGAACGGCAGCACGGGGGCAACCCUGGUGGCGAGUGGCGAACGGGUGAGUAAUAUAUCGGAACAUGUCCGGAAGUGGGGGAUAACGUAGCGAAAGUUACGCUAAUACCGCAUAUGCACUGAGGGGGAAAGGGGGGGAUCGCAAGACCUCUCGCUUUCGUAGUGGCCGAUAUCAGAUUAGCUAGUUGGUGGGGUAAAGGCCUAACAAGGCAACGAUCUGUAGCUGGUCUGAGAGGACGACCAGCCACACUGGGACUGAGACACGGCCCAGACUCCUACGGGAGGCAGCAGUGGGGAAUUUUGGACAAUGGGGGCAACCCUGAUCCAGCCAUGCCGCGUGAGUGAAGAAGGCCUUCGGGUUGUAAAGCUCUUUCGGACAGAAAGAAAUCGUGCAGAAUAAUACUCUGUAUGGAUGACGGUACUGUAAGAAGAAGCACCGGCUAACUACGUGCCAGCCGCCGCUGUAA